rnacentral:rRNA from 1 species
UUCUAUUAUUAUCAUUAAUAGUAUAAUCUGCUCAAUGAUAAAUUAAAUAGCCGCAGAACCUGUGCUAAGGUAGCAUAAUCAUUUGUCUUUUAAAUGAAGACUUGAAUAAAAGAUUGAACAUUUUAACUUUUUAUUAAAAAUAUAUUUUUAAAUUAUCCUAAGUGUAAAAAGACACUUAUAUAAUAGAAAGACGACAAGACCCUACUGAACUUAACUAUAGUUAAACUGGGGUAGUUAAAUAAUUAUAAUUUUAAUUUAAAUUUUAAAAUUAAAUGAUCUAAUACAAUUAAUUAAAUGAUCAAGUUACCAUAGGGAUAACAGCAUAAUAUAAAUUUAAAGAUCUUAUAACAAUAUUAAAUUAUGACCUCGAUGUUGAAUAAUAACCUAAUUAUCGCAAAAGAUAAUAUUAAAGGAAGUCUGUUCGACUUUUAAAUAAUUACA